AUAUGAUGAGUGUAUAACACUUGAAACAUUUCCUCUCUAAGGAGAGAAGACUACCAAUCCGAAACUAGGGUGAUACAAGUGUGGAUUUCACUUGUGUUGCAUUCAAGGCUUGGAAACGAAGGUGCUUGAGGAUAUUGACGUCCCUCUUGUGUCCACGUAAGAGUGUCGGUGUUGUUAUUACAUGUAUUAAGGGUCUUAGUAUUGGAUCUACACUUAGAUUCUUAGUUAUUGUAGUAAUCUAUGUCACACUACCUAUCUUUACAUUUUAUUGUUGUCAUCUUGUUGUUGUUGUGUAGUGAACUAUUUUGGGUCCUUUGUUGAAUCUAGAAAUUUGUGUUAUUGUUGUUCAUAUUAUUCUUCACGUUUUGUAGCUGUUUUGGUGUUAUAUAGACCAUUAUAUAUUGUAUUCUUCUUGUUGAUAGCGAAUCCGAGAAUGGUCUCCAUCUUGGUCCUUGGAUCCUUAAAAUUAUGGACUGAUUUGGUGUUUGGUUUCGUGUAUCUUUUGUUAUUCUUGUAUCAUUUGGUAUUAAAGCAUGGCUUGAUUUUGUUACCACAAGAUCAAUCUUGGGCUUGCUUGCAAAAAAAAUUAAAAAAAAAGUGUUGAAAGCUGAAAAUUCCAAAAAGAAGCAAAUCUGUCCAUUUUUGUGUCUUGACCGAAAUUGUGUUCUUGUUGUGUCUUGGCCAAGAUUUUUCUUGUUUUGAGUCUAUAUCUAGGAUUAAUUUUAUUUGUUUUGUUGUUUCUAGUGUUAGAUUCUUCACCUCUAACACUAAAGAAGUCUAGAUCUAGAUUUGAGCUUUAAUUGUUAAUGUUGUUGUUGUGAACCUAAACUUUGGCCAUGUGAUUGUUGUUGGUAUUGUUGUUGCGGAUUCAAAGCUUGUACGUGUGGUGUGGUGUUGGUUAAAGUUUUGAACGUGUAUAGUGGUUAUUGUGUUGUAUUUUUAAGCUUGGAAAGGUGUUGUUGAUGUUUGGGAUCCAACUUGAACCUUAUAACUUCAAGAUUCAAAAAGUGUGUUCUUGGUGUUCUUCACAUCUUCAUCUAUUGUUGAAGAAAAAGUGGAUGUUUGAUCUUGAAAUUUGAAGAAAGAGAGUGUAUAUUUUGUUAGUCUUGAAAGACAUAUUUCCAAAAUUUAAGACCUCUCAAGACUUUUUCAACCAAUUCCAACCACUCAAGGACUUUAACAACCAUUUUUCUAACAACCUUCCAUGAUUUAAGGACCAUGUCUUGAGGAGAAAAGUCAAGUUUUGCUUUUUGAAUUUGAAAGAGGAUUUUAAGACUUGUUUUCUCUCCUUAACUAACUCCCACCAUUUUCAAAUUACAAUUGGACCAAGACUUGAAUUGGAAAAUAAAAUUUGAUAACAACCGCAAUCAAUACGUGGCUGCCACAUCACUUUUUACUGUUCACCGAUAAUUUGUAAGAUCAAAAUUUAGAUUUCUUAGUUUCAUUUUAUUGUCUCUUAGUUUUGUUUGUUGGUUCGAAAGCUAAUUGACAACCUAGUAAUUUCCUACUAGCUUGUAAGUUAGUUUUGUGUCCGUUUGUUCGUGUUUAUGUUUGUUGUAUGCUUUUAUCGUUUUGAAUUCAUUGUUAGUUCUUGACUCAAGUCCUACAAGAUUUCAUUUGAGUUUCAAACAAAAAUUCAUUCUGGACAAGAGUAGGUCCGACCCUCAAUCACUCACGAAGUACAAGCCGGCUUUCAACACUUAUGAAACCAAGUGUGAGGUAAAAUCGAGAGUGGGACCAUGGUGAGGCUAAUUUGAGCUAACAAGUUGUUUUUUUUUUGUCUUUCUUAGGUCCCAUGGAUGACGGUACUUUCAAGGCUGCCCUUGAAGAUGUCCACCGGAACUUUGAAAGACUACAUUACAUACUUGACUCCCCGAAUUCAAAACCAUUAAUCCAACCUCCACUUGACCAAGGAACAACGACCCGUCUUGAAACUAUCCUCCGUGAUUGUGAAAGAUGAGAAAGGGAAUGGAUGCCAUACAAACCACUAUAUCAAAUGCUCCCUUGUGAUGAGAGCUUGUCAAAGGUACAAGCGGAAUGCCAUGACACACAUCAAAGUGAAGACCAUAACUCAUACGAGUUACAAGGUAAAAAUCCUAAUCCCCACACUCUUACAAACUUAGAAUAUUGUGAUGUGGCUAGUAGUAGCCAAAUGAGAGUGGUUUCGGGUUUGCAUAGAUUAUAAGUACACGAGUCUUUAUUUUGUGAUACUCUUGGUAUUGUUAGGAUGCAUGACAACUAACUUCUUAUUGUAAGUAAGCAAGCACUAGUUGAUCCUUUAGAUGACAAUUAAUUCUUCUCGUAAGAAUGAUUUAUGUCCAUCUAGAGCUUACACUUAUGAAUUGAAUAAGGUUCCAUUGCUAUGUAAUAAGAGUAUUCACACACUAGUUGACCCUUGUGAAAUUCAAGGUGAGUCUAAGUUGGUAUGUGAGUUGCCAACAACUAGUGAGGAUGUGAAAAAUGAUCAAUCGGGUGACGAUGACCUUGACGUGCUUGAAUGUCUAGACAACCCGAUUAGUAUUUGUUCUUGUGAAGUUGGUUUUGAUUUUGCUCCCUUUUCUGUCUAUAGUGGUUUAUGUAUAUUUAGGGACUACUCUCUUGAAAGAGAAAGUGUUGCAUGCCGAUAAAUGCUAUCUACUCCUUCUUCGUGUGUUUCCUACGUUGGGCUUGCUAAUAAAAAUGAACUUGAAAUUAGUAAGUACUUUCAUGAGGACUCCAUAGUUAGAGUUGACUCAUGUGACUCCUUUCCCUCCCCUCUUUGUGCUCAUGAUAUUUUCCAUAGCGAUAUAGAGGGUAUGCCUAAUUUUGAGGGCGACACCGUAGGGGAAAGUAAGUAUGGUCGAAAACCAUGGCCAUGGAUACUUCUCCCGUUUGAUCCCGGUACCAUCUUAGGGUGGGAAAUGAUUACCUCGGCCUAUUUUCCUUUUGUCUUAAUGCUUGCCCGAGCCACCUCCUUUGUAGCAUUUGUACUAAUCUUUCAUGAUUAAAACAAAGAACCCGUGGCUAUACUUUAAGUUUGUUCUGCCUCGUCAUGGCUUGUUGAUGUGUUAUUUUUGCUAACCUUAAUCCCUCAUAUCAUGAGGAUGUGUGCUUGUUUGUCUUCUCUUUAUUUUGCAAGGUAUGGAUUCGAGGUCGAAUCCUUUUCAAGAAGGGGAGAAUGAUACAAGUACGACCACGAGAAUAGAUGUGUGAAAGUGUAAUGAACCCGAGGCUUGGAGUGUGCAAGAAAAAUUCAAAAGAGCGCCUAAAACACACACCAAAACCGAACCUACACUACACUCUAUGGGCAACAUUUUGAGGCUUUUCAUUAAAGGGCAUUUUGGCCAUUUUGUAUUCUAUUUAUAACCUAGUAUAAAUAGAAUAUUGUAGGUCAUUUUGUAUUAGAUUUUUCUGAAUAUGAUGAGUGUAUAACACUUGAAACAUUUCCUCUCUAAGGAGAGAAGACCACCAAUCCAAAACUAGGGUGAUACAAGUGUGGAUUUCACUUGUGUUGCAUUCAAAGCUUGGAAACGAAGGUGCUUGGGGAGAUUGACGUCCCUCUUGUGGUCCACGUAUGAGUGUCCGUAUUGUUAUUACAUGUAUUAAUGGUCUUAGUGUUGGAUAUACACUUAGGUUCUUAGUUAUUGUAGUAAUCUAUGUCACACUACCUAUCUUUACAUUUUGUUGUUGCCAUCUUGUUAUUGUUGUGUAGUGGACUGUUUUGGGUCCUUUGUUGAAUCUGGAAAUUUGUGUUAUUGUUGUUCAUAUUGUUCUUCACUUUUUGUAGCUGUUUUGGUGUUAUAUAGACCAUUGUAUCUUGUAUUCUUCUUGUUGAUAGCGAAUCCGAGAGUGGUCUCCAUCUUGAUCCUUGGAUCCUUAAGAUUGUGUACUGAUUUGGUGUUUGAUUUCGUGUAUCUUUUGUUAUUCUUGUAUCAACCAACCAUCACCUUUCCUUUUUUACUAAGGAUGCCAGCAUAGUACUUAAGGUAAGGAUGGGGGCUUGUAUUUGUCUGGAUCAAGAGAAUCAUCCUCUGCAGCUUAGGAUCAAAGUACCAGGAUUGCUUUAUCUCUUCCAUCAAGUCAAAUUGAAUGGCUGAAUGCUGCAAAGAGAAAUGCCAUCCUCUACUCUAGAGAGAGCAUCUGCAACAAUGUUUUCCUUCCUCUUUUUAUAGUCAAUGGUGUAGUCAUAUCCAAGUAACUUAACUAACCAUUUUUGUUGACUUAGGAUAGUAAUUCUCUGCCCCAACAAGUACUUGAAAUUUACCCCUUCAUACGGGCCUGAACCCUCAAGGAAAAAUAGAUUAGCUCCAACAGGAGAUAAAACAUCUUGAAAUUUACCAACACUGAUCAUACAGAGCUCAGAAGUUUGGGCCAAUAAUUUGUUCAUCCCUUGCUGUUGCACCAGCUUUGCAGCCGGUGGUUGACUGCCUCUCAAAUAUAUUUUGCGACCCAUGAUAUGAAAUUCCAUCUUCAGUUUCUUGAAGUUCCAAAUGAUGUCACUUAGUGUAAUUAACCACUAGAUCCCUAGCACCAUACUACACCCUUCAAUUGUCAAGAUUAGCAUAUCAGAAUCAAAGGAUACACUCGGCAUCUUCUAUGUUAAACCUUUACACACAUAGUUUCUCUGAACUUUCUUACCAUCGGCCACUGAGACACCAAAAGGUGAUAUAACAGUUAACAAACGACCAAACUUCCUUGCAAUGUUGUAAUCAAGGAAGUUGUAGGUACUUCCGGUAUCUAUGAGUACAUGAAUGGCUUUCCCCUUAAUCGAGGCAGUGACUUUCAUAGUUCUGAAGUCAUGAAUUCCAUUCAUGGCAUAAACUAACACGUGAGGUAAGAUUUCCCUUUCAUUAUUAGUUUCUAGGACAUGACCAAUCAUGGUCUUCUUAGUUAUUGUAGUAAUCUAUGUCACACUACCUAUCUUUACAUUUUGUUGUUGCCAUCUUGUUAUUGUUGUGUAGUGGACUGUUUUGGGUCCUUUGUUGAAUCUGGAA
rnacentral:lncRNA from 1 species